GACGAACGCUGGCGGCGUGCUUAACACAUGCAAGUCGAACGAAGUGGCGAACGGGUGAGUAAUACGUGAGUAACCUGCCCUCCUUUUUGGGAUAAGCCUUGGAAACGGGGUCUAAUACCGAAUAAAGGGGGAUGGGCGCGCGGCCUAUCAGCUUGUUGGUGGGGUGAUGGCCUACCAAGGCGGUGACGGGUGGCCGGCCUGAGAGGGUGACCGUACAAAUUGGGACGGAGAUACGGCCCAGACACCGACGGGGGGCAGCGGUGGGGGAUAUGGCACAAUGGGCGAGAGAGUGAUGCAGCGACGCCGCGUGGGGGAUGAAGGCUUUCGGGUUGUAAACCGCUUUAAGCCAUGACGCGGUAGUGGCAGAAGAAGCACCGGCUAACUACGUGCCAGCAGCCGCGGUAAUAC
rnacentral:rRNA from 1 species